UGUAAAAUUUUAAAGGUCGAACAGACCUAAUAUUAUAGCUUCUACACCAAAAAUUUAUUUUAAUCCAACAUCGAGGUCGCAAUCUUUUUUUUUAAUAUGAACUUUCUAAAAAAAUUACGCUGUUAUCCCUAAGGUAAUUUUAUCUUAUAAUCAAAAAUAUUGGAUCAUUUUUUCAUAAAUCAAUGAUUUUAAAUAAAAAAAGUUAAUUAAAUUUUUCAAUCACCCCAAUUAAAUUAUUUUUUAAAAAUAUUAAAUUAAUACUUAAAUAACAAAUUAUUUAAAUAAUCAAACUCUAUAGGGUCUUCUCGUCUUUUAAUUAAAAUUAAGCUUUUUAACUUAAAUAUAAAAUUCUAAUAAAAUUUAAUAGAGACAGCUAUUUUCUUAUUCAACCUUUCAUUCCAGUUUCCAAUUAAAAAACUAAUGAUUAUGCUACCUUAGCACGGUCAAUAUACCACGGCCAUUUAACUCUUCAGUGGGCAGGUCAGACCUUAAAUUAUUAACAAAAGGAC
rnacentral:rRNA from 1 species